rnacentral:rRNA from 1 species
AUUGAACGCUGGCGGCAUGCCUAACACAUGCAAGUCGAGCGAGCGGCGGACGGGUGAGUAAUGUCUGGGAAACUGCCUGAUUGAGGGGGAUAACUACUGUAAACGGUAGCUAAUACCGCAUACCAUCAGAUGUGCCCAGGUGGGAUUGGCUAGUAGGUGGGGUAACGGCUCACCUAGGCGACGAUCCCUAGCUGGUCUGAGAGGAUGACCAGCCAAACUGGAACGGAGCAACGGGCAAGACUCCGAGGGGAGGCAGAAGUGGGGAAUAUUGGACAAUGGGGGCAAGCCGGAUGCAGCAAGGCGGGGUGUGUGAAGAGGGCCUUCGGGUUGUAAAGCACUUUCAGCGGGGAGGCGUUACCCGAAGAAGAAGCACCGGCUAACUACGUGCCAGCAGCCGCGGUAAUUC